GCCAGGUGUGCUGGCCAACGCCUGUAAUCCCAGCAGCUUGGGAGGCUGAGACAGGAGGAUCACAAGUUCAAAGCCAGCCUCAAGAACUCAGUGAGGCUCUAAACAACUCAGUGAGACCCUGUAUCUA
rnacentral:sRNA from 1 species